rnacentral:rRNA from 1 species
GACGAACCGUGCGAACGUUGUUCGGAUUCACUGGGCUUAAAGGGCGCGUAGGCGGCUUGGCAAGUGGAUGGUGAAAUCCCUCGGCUUAACCGAGGAACUGCCGUCCAAACUGCUUAGCUUGAGACCGGGAGAGGUGAGUGGAAUUCCCAGUGUAGCGGUGAAAUGCGUAGAUAUUGGGAGGAACACCAGUGGCGAAGGCGGCUCACUGGACCGGUACUGACGCUGAGGCGCGACAGCGUGGGGAGCAAACAGG